GGGCGCGGUUUGUGAGGGAAAAAAAUCCAAGAAAAAGGUAAAAAAGGGGAAAUAAUGAGACAAGAGGGUUUUUCACACUAGGGGCGGUGGAUUUUUGGGGGGGUUCUGCCCUUUUUUGGCGAUUUUGGGGACUAUUUUGUCGCCCCCGCGGGGGCGGCGCCGGGCCCUUUAUAAGGCAGGGCCCCGCGGCCGCAGCGCCCGGCCGAGAGCCAGCCCCGAUCCCGCCCGAAUUUGGCCCAAAACCGCUCGAUCCUGAGCACAAAGCUCCUAAAGCUGCUCGAUUUUAUCCAAAAAAGCUCCUAAAAUGGCUUUAUUUUCUAUCCAGAGCUCCAAUAAUGGCUUUACUGCCUACGGAAAGCUCUUAAAGCUGCGAUAUUUUAUAGCAAGAGCUCCUAAGGCUGCUUUAUUUCGUAAAAGCGGCUCCUAAGUCUUUAUUUAAAAAUAAAGACAAAAGGUGUUUCCUUUAAGGAAAACUGAGCUCUUAAAGCUGCUUGAUUUCAAUAAAAAUCCUUAAAUUGCGGCGAUUCCACUAACGGGAAAAGCCGGGGCGAGCCGGGGCAUUUUUAAUUGAAAAAAACCAAUCAAAACCCUUAAAAAAAGCUCUUAAAGCUGGGUUUUAUUUAAACCAAAGCAUUUGAUGCUGGUUUUUAAGAAAUCGCUGCUUUCAAAGCCGAUUUCUGGGAGAAAUCGCAGCUCUCGCAGCUCUUUAAUUCUUAAAAAAUAUCAUAAUUUGAUAUAAAAGCCGGAGCGAGCUGGGGCGGUUUGAAUUUAAAAAGAGCUUUUUAAGCUGCUUUAAUUGAAAGAAAGAAAGAAAACGCGCUUGAUACGCUGUUUUCUGCUAAAAAAAAGCUCUUAAAUUUAAUUUUUAAAAAGCUCCUAAAGCUUAAAAAAUGUCGUUUUGUCCCCAAGUGGGGCCGGGCCGGGCAGCGCAGAUGGGGCGGCCGGUUUGGGGUGAAAUGCGGCAUUUUCAGGCUCAGGAUGGAUUGAGAGGAGCCAAUUUUGAGGCAAGAGCAGGAAAAAUGAAGAGUGAAGAUGGAGUCGGCAGGGAGAGGAAAGUUUUUCUUCGCAGUGACCCCAUCUGGGGGGAUAAAGGACUUUUUGGUAAAAUGGCGGCAGUUGGGCAGGGAAGGAGCAGAGAGAAGAGAGAAAAAAAACCAGGAAAAAAAGGCAGAAAAUAGAACAAAGAGA